rnacentral:rRNA from 1 species
AAUGGGCGCAAGCCUGAUGCAGCGACGCCGCGUGCGGGAUGACGGCCUUCNGGUUGUAAACCGCUUUUGAUCGGGAGCAAGCCUUCGGGUGAGUGUACCUUUCGAAUAAGCACCGGCUAACUACGUGCCAGCAGCCGCGGUAAUACGUAGGGUGCAAGCGUUAUCCGGAAUUAUUGGGCGUAAAGGGCUCGUAGGCGGUUCGUCGCGUCCGGUGUGAAAGUCCAUCGCUUAACGGUGGAUCCGCGCCGGGUACGGGCGGGCUUGAGUGCGGUAGGGGAGACUGGAAUUCCCGGUGUAACGGUGGAAUGUGUAGAUAUCGGGAAGAACACCAAUGGCGAAGGCAGGUCUCUGGGCCGUCACUGACGCUGAGGAGCGAAAGCGUGGGGAGCGAACAGGAUUAGAUACCCUGGUAGUCCAAGGGCGAAUUC